rnacentral:rRNA from 1 species
AGCGACCCCCGUCAGCGAGACUACCCGCUGAGUUUAAGCAUAUCAAUAAG